CCUACGGGGGGCAGCAGUGAGGAAUAUUGGUCAAUGGACGAGAGUCUGAACCAGCCAAGUAGCGUGAAGGAUGACUGCCCUAUGGGUUGUAAACUUCUUUUAUAUGGGAAUAAAAUGUGCCACGUGUGGGAUGUUGUAUGUACCAUAUGAAUAAGGAUCGGCUAACUCCGUGCCAGCAGCCGAGGUAAUACGGAGGAUCCGAGCGUUAGCCGGAUUUAUUGGGUGUACAGGGAGCGUAGUUGGCUUGUUAAGUCAGUUGUGAAAGUUUGCGGCUCAACCGUAAAAUUGCAGUUGAAACUGGCAGUCUUGCUUACAGUAGAGUUGGGCGGCAUUCUUGGUGUAGCGG
rnacentral:rRNA from 1 species